UACAGAGGGUGCGAGCGUUGUCCGGAAUUACUGGGCGUAAAGGGUGCGUAGGCGGACGUUUAAGUCGGGGGUGAAAUCCCAGGGCUCAACCCUGGAACUGCCUUCGAUACUGGACGUCUCGAGACCGGGAGAGGUGAGUGGAACUGCGAGUGUAGAGGUGAAAUUCGUAGAUAUUCGCAAGAACACCAGUGGCGAAGGCGGCUCACUGGCCCGGUUCUGACGCUGAGGCACGAAAGCGUGGGGAGCAAACAGG
rnacentral:rRNA from 1 species